CUUCAAUCAACCAGUCAUUACAUCACCUGUGCAGUGCCGCCACAUGAUCUCUGGAUGGUUUUAUACUGUGCUAGGAAAUUAAAUUUCCUCAAUUCAAUGGAAAGAAAGAGAUGAACGGCUUCAUCCCAGCUGGGCAGACAAAGACAAGAGCGCCACCCACAGAAACCGAAAUCCAGGAGGAGGACGUCAGACUCUCGCCCACACUGCGUUGAUGGACAGGUGGUGUUUGCUAAGUGCAGAGCAGAAACACAACAAGGGAAGAGCGCUGAGCAAUAAAGAUGGAAAAUAACAA